rnacentral:lncRNA from 1 species
UAAAUAAACUUAAAAAAAUUUCAGGUGUUUUGGAAUGGACAGUUAUUGGAAAGGUAACAGAUUAUGGACAAAACGUGACAUUAUUUUGCAAUGUUUCAUACUGUUGUCCUAAAGACUCAGGAUGGGACAGAUGGACUCCUGUACAACAAACCCUGUUUAUAGAUGUAAAGACAGGACGACCAAAUAAAAAGUAUGACGGAAAGGCUAUGAAGGAUGGAUACACCUUAGUUAUUCAAAAUCUGACGGAAAAUGAUCUUAAUGCUUCGUAUUCCUGUUUGUAUGGUGUAACGUUAGGUGAAAGAAAAUUUCUACUAGAACAGGAUGUUUUCACGU